rnacentral:misc_RNA from 1 species
GAGAGAUCACCUAGGGAACCAUUUGCACAGUAUGCAUUAAAAAUUGUUUGGUGCUUAAAAGACAGUUUAUAGAAUUCUAUAAGAUGACAUUGUGGGGUGAAUUUGCAUCUGUGGCCUAAAUUUUGGUUCACUUUCAAAAGUUUAAUCCGUUACAAUCAAGUCAGUGUUUUUAAAUGAGAUGAUACAAUGCUUGUUGGCAAUUGUGUGGGCUACAUGUGGAAUAUUACGAUCGAAAACUCACCCAAGAUGAAGAAGAACUUUCAAAACAUAGAUUAACAUCAGAUAAAUGUGGAAUUGAGUAAACUCUUGCUUUUAGAGGCUUACCUUGGUUAGAGUUUGCACAAAGAACAAAAAUUAAUGGAUUUCUGAGAUGAAUUGGAGCAGUUGGUGAUCACUCCGAUCACUCACCAAGACAGGAACAAUGACAUUGACGAGAUUUUGAGCCUGUUUGGCUCUAGAGCACAAUUAGCAGAAUUCUCUCCUUAUUUAACGUUCAGGGCCACUUCAGGCCCUUGAAUCAUUGACUGGGGCCUGUUCCAAGUUUGACUUGGACCAGCCUCAGUCCAAUUCAUGGGCUUCCCCGGUCCCUGGCUUUGGCUGGGUCUAGGCUGGGGAAUUCGCAUACUGGGUUUCGUGCUCCCUAAACAGGCCCGUGUUCCAGCCAACCUCGUUCCUUGUUUUGAAAUAAAGCAUCCUAGCAAUAUAGGACUGAAAAAAGGUUUGUACGGUCUAAAGUCAACCUAGAGUUCGUUCCAACCACUCUGAAACCAUAUCAGUUACUUGAAACAAUUUAAUUAUGCCCCCAACAAACAAUCCUUUGGCUAUCAUCAUUGGGAAAUUGUGUUACCAAAAUUCAGCGUCUACAAGUUGGAGAUCCUUUGUCAUCAUUGGUAGAAAAGAGAAAGACCAAAUCCCAAAUAAAACAUGGGGUAAUAGGUAGGGUGAUUGGACACCAAAUGCACUUGAGAAGUAUCGAAUGCUCUUUACUUGAAUGCUCUAGCGAAUAAUAUGAGAAACCUAAAAAAUUGGAGCAUAUUCAAUUAAAAUGUUUCAUUCCAACUGAUCUUCCGGAAAAUCCAGUUUCAUCUGUCCUCUCAAAUACCUCUGUCCAUAUUAUCUUUUUUUUUUUUCACCCUUGUCCUGAAUGGUAUGGUGUUGAAAAUUUGCAGCAAAUAUAUGAAAAGCUUGUAGAUGCAAAGAGCAAAUCUGAAGAGUUAGUUGGUCUUUUCCGUGUUAUUCUUGAGGGUAAUUUCAGUUUCCUAGGGAAUUUUUUUUUUCCCUCUAUUUCAUAAACAAAGAGAACAAUUUUGCAGAUUUAGGCAUAAAGGGUAAAAGACUUCCACUGACUGGAGUUGGGGAGGCGAGAAGAUUGAAAAGAUGAGUAUAUUUAAAAAACUUCUUACGAAUAUAGUCAACCUGGGUUCCAUUUAUUUAAAGGUAAAAAUAUCUUCCAACUGUUUUCUAGUUCUAACAUAACCUGUGGAAAUUAACUUUUCCUAAAUCUUGUAACAAACAAAGGUACAUGAAAUAAUAAAACAACAAAAUGUUAUAAAAUUACAAGAAACAAACAAUGUGGCAUCAUUAUGGGACACAGAGCAUAAAUAAUUCCCAAAAACAUGCUGCAUUGCCUUUUGUCCAUUUUGUAACCUGGCUUAAGGAUUCCUAUUUCUGGUGCUUUAAUUGCAGAAAAACAAAGAAUGGUGAUUUGAUAGGAUAGAAUUGAAUUUUCAACAUUGAACUGAGACACAAUGAUAAUUUCAUGAUACUGGAAUAGGUAUAUUUUCAUAUUACAUAUUCCAUGUAUUUUCAUAAUCACUUUCCCACACAAUGGGCUAGGUUUAAGAAAACAAUUGAUUGCAAGUUUAUAAUCUCUAGGCUUUUAUGUCCUUCGAUCGACUUGAAUGGUGACUCACUAGUAGAAAUCAAUGUCUUUGCAGAUUCUUCCACCGCCAAUCACAAGAGCAGAUUUUGAUAAAGUGCUGGCAAGGCAGAAGCCAACAGUGAGUAAAGCUGAUCUUGAGGUGCAUGAAAGAUUCACAAAGGAGUUUGGAGAG